rnacentral:rRNA from 1 species
UACGUAGGGUCCGAGCGUUGUCCGGAAUUAUUGGGCGUAAAGAGCUCGUAGGCGGUUUGUCGCGCCUGCUGUGAAAUCCCGAGGCUCAACCUCGGGCCUGCAGUGGGUACGGGCAGACUAGAGUGCGGUAGGGAGACUGGAAUUCCGUGGUGAUAGCGGUGAAAUGCGCAGAGUAUCAGGAGGAACACCGGUGGCGAAGGCGGGUCUCUGGGCCGUAACUGACGCUGGAGGAGCGAAAGCGUGGGAGCGAACAGG